rnacentral:rRNA from 1 species
UAGGGAAUCUUCGGCAAUGGGGGGAACCCUGACCGAGCAACGCCGCGUGAGUGAAGAAGGUUUUCGGAUCGUAAAGCUCUGUUGUUAAGGAAGAACGAGUGUGAGAAUGGAAAGUUCAUGCUGUGACGGUACUUAACCAGAAAGGGACGGCUAACUACGUGCCAGCAGCCGCGGUAAUACGUAGGUCCCGAGCGUUGUCCGGAUUUAUUGGGCGUAAAGCGAGCGCAGGCGGUUAGAAAAGUCUGAAGUGAAAGGCAGUGGCUCAACCAUUGUAGGCUUUGGAAACUGUUUAACUUGAGUGCAGAAGGGGAGAGUGGAAUUCCAUGUGUAGCGGUGAAAUGCGUAGAUAUAUGGAGGAACACCGGUGGCGAAGGCGACUUACUGGGCUCAUUCUGACGCUGAGGAACGAAAGCGUGGGUAGCAAACAGG